UACAGAGGGGGCAAGCGUUGUUCGGAAUUACUGGGCGUAAAGGGCGCGUAGGCGGCCUUCUAAGUCGAACGUGAAAUCCCCGGGCUCAACCCGGGAACUGCGUCCGAUACUGGAAGGCUUGAAUCCGGGAGAGGGAUGCGGAAUUCCUGGUGUAGCGGUGAAAUGCGCAGAUAUCAGGAGGAACACCGGUGGCGAAGGCGGACCUCUGGGCCUUACCUGACGCUCAGGUGCGAAAGCUAGGGGAGCGAACAGG
rnacentral:rRNA from 1 species